CCUACGGGGGGCAGCAGUGGGGAAUAUUGGACAAUGGGGGAAACCCUGAUCCAGCCAUGCCGCGUGAGUGAUGAAGGCCUUAGGGUUGUAAAGCUCUUUUGCCAGGGAUGCGGUACCUGGAGAAUAAGCACCGGCUAACUUCGUGCCAGCAGCCGCGGUAAUACGAAGGGUGCUAGCGUUGUUCGGAAUCACUGGGCGUAAAGCGCGCGUAGGCGGCUUAACAAGUCAGGGGUGAAAUGCCAAGGCUUAACCUUGGAACUGCCUUUGAAACUGUUAAGCUAGAGACUCGGAGGGGAUGGCGGAAUUCCUAAUGUAGAGGUGAAAUUCGUAGAUAUUAGGAGGAACACCGGUGGCGAAGGCGGCCAUCUGGCGGUACUGACGCUGAGGCGCGAAAGCGUGGGGAUCAAACAGGAUUAGAUACCCUUGUAGUC
rnacentral:rRNA from 1 species